UACGAAGGGGGCUAGCGUUGCUCGGAAUCACUGGGCGUAAAGGGUGCGUAGGCGGGUCUUUAAGUCAGGGGUGAAAUCCUGGAGCUCAACUCCAGAACUGCCUUUGAUACUGAGGAUCUUGAGUUCGGGAGAGGUGAGUGGAACUGCGAGUGUAGAGGUGAAAUUCGUAGAUAUUGGGAGGAACACCAGUGGCGAAGGCGGCUAACUGGGUUGUAACUGACGCUGAGGCGCGAAAGCAUGGGGAUCAAACAGG
rnacentral:rRNA from 1 species